rfam:Termitomyces sp. J132 unplaced genomic scaffold scaffold46, whole genome shotgun sequence.
GACCCCUUAGCUCAGCUGGUAGAGUGUGUGAUUCCAGUGUCGGAAAUCCACAAGGUCAUCCGUUCAAAUCGGGUAGGGGUCA